CAAACUCCUAGGUUCCAGCCAUCCUCCUGCCUUAGCCUCCCAAAGUGCUGGGAUUACAGGCAACAUGAGUCUACACGAGAUCUCAUUCUGCCCUUCAGGUCCGACGCCCUCCCCUCGCCUCAACCUCCCGUGCCACUUCAGUACUCAAUAUAUGAAUCAUGGGCAAAACUAGCUGUGUAUCUGAAAUCUCUCUAUAGUCUAGUCUGUCAUGCCAGCAAAUGUCUCCAGGGGAGAAAAGGCUGAUGAUUUCUGUUCACCUAAAAAGGGCUCUUUCAACUCUGGAAUUGUAAUUCAUUUGGAACCCUUUGUUUUCAAGCUCUUCAAUGUGUUUAAGAUUUUUGUGACUUGUCUAUUUUUUUUCCUAGUUGUUGAUGUGGGAGUGAUGAACUGUGGAUAUUUGUGUAUCCCACCUGGAAGCAAAAGUUCAUAAUGACUUUUAAAGACAGACCAUGAAGAUUACGACUUGAAAACCACUGCUUUAUAUAUCUUCAUUCUAAUAAUGAUAAUUAUUUAUCAGAUUACUAAGAUUACCAAAAUAAAAUAAUUUGCAUUGGUUUAGGUAAGCAAGUCUAUUUUUGCCAACCUUGCUGACUGAGCUGUUAAAACUUUACAUCUGCAAACUCUGUCACCCCUACUUUCAAGACUACAGCUUAUGAAGGAAUAAGGUUUAUGAUUAGCCUGAAAGACCUGAUAUACUUGGUUGUAUGCCUUUGGAACCUGUAUACUAUUUGAUUUGCAUUUGUUUAACCUCUCUCUCUUCCUUGAGACCAACAUCCUGCCCCAGUUGGUUCCCUCCAUGAUUUUUAGGCAUCUGCCUCAGUUUGCUGAUUAGCACAUUAUUUAUGUGCAAUUAUACUACUAGGAAUGAACUCUAUGUUUGACUUCAACCUAUCCAAGUGGAGACUUAUUACCCUACGUAGCUCUUGCCAAAUAGCAUCUCUGGGGGAUAACUUCUCAUCCUCUGUCCCCCAGCCAGUAGCAGUGAUCUUUUUUAGAUCACAUAAUUAAAGAUAUUCCUACCUCAGAUAACAGUGCUGCCAUCCUUACCGCUAGGCUGACUUGAACUUUCACCUGACUAGAUUUCACUUUGUUGAAGGGGUUUUUGUCUAAUGGGGCUGAUUUUCUUGUCGUUUUUAACCUCUCAGUUCUGGCUUCCUUUCCUUAUCUUCAUGAGGCCAUGCUGCUGAAGUUUUAGCAGGUUUUAAAUCGAAGCCUUAGAAGUUAGGACGAAACUGAACGCUAUGUAGAGCAGCAGUUCUUAAAGUCUGAUCUGCAGAUCUCUGCAGGUCUCGGAGACGCUUUCAGAAAGUCUGUGAGGGGAAAACUAUUUUCAUCGUAAUAUCAUCUUUAUUUGCUUUUUUCACUGUGUUGACAUUUGCACUGAUGAUACAAAAGCAACAGUGGGUGCCUCAAGACAAAUCAAAGCAGUGGCACCACACCAUGUGAGUAGUCGUUUAAUUCCUCAUCCAUGCAUUUGCGUUAAAAAAGUCAGUUUCACCUAACAGUGUCCUUGAUGAAGUAUUAGUUUUUAUUAAAUCUUGACCCUUGAGUCUUUUAACGUUCUAUGUAAUAGAAAGAGAAGUGUGCAUACAGCACUCUGCUACAUUCUGAAAUAUGAUGUCUAUCUCCAGGAAAAAGCACUUAUGCAAUUGUUUAAGUUAUAAACUAAACUAGUGGCUUUUCCCAUGGAACACCAUUUUUUAUUUGGAAAAAAAAAAAAAAGACUCUUACACAAACUCUGGUUGUUCUGAUUCGGGCAUUUGGCAGACAUUUUCCGAAAAAUGAA